rnacentral:rRNA from 1 species
UACGAAGGGGGCUAGCGUUGCUCGGAAUCACUGGGCGUAAAGGGUGCGUAGGCGGGUCUUUUAAGUCAGGGGUGAAAUCCUGGAGCUCAACUCCAGAACUGCCUUUGAUACUGAAGAUCUUGAGUUCGGGAGAGGUGAGUGGAACUGCGAGUGUAGAGGUGAAAUUCGUAGAUAUUCGCAAGAACACCAGUGGCGAAGGCGGCUCACUGGCCCGAUACUGACGCUGAGGCACGAAAGCGUGGGGAGCAAACAGGAUUAGAAACCCCAGUGA